rnacentral:rRNA from 1 species
UACGUAGGGGGCGAGCGUUGUCCGGAUUUAUUGGGCGUAAAGAGCUCGUAGGCGGUUCGAUAAGUCGGACGUGAAAUCUCCACGCUCAACGUGGAGGGGCCGUUCGAUACUGUCGUGACUCGAGUCCGGUAGGGGAGUGUGGAAUUCCCGGUGUAGCGGUGAAAUGCGUAGAGAUGUGGAGGAACACCGAUGGCGAAGGCAGCCUCCUGGGCCAGCACUGACGCUCAUGCACGAAAGCGUGGGGAGCAAACAGG